GCGGGUGUAGUACAAUGGCAGUACAUUAGCUUCCCAAGCUAAGGACAGGGGUUCGAUUCCCCUUACCCGCUCCA
rnacentral:tRNA from 1 species